AGAUUGAACGCUGGCGGCAGGCCUAACACAUGCAAGUCGAGCGGCAGCACGGGUACUUGUACCUGGUGGCGAGCGGCGGACGGGUGAGUAAUGCCUAGGAAUCUGCCUGGUAGUGGGGGAUAACGCUCGGAAACGGACGCUAAUACCGCAUACGUCCUACGGGAGAAAGCAGGGGACCUUCGGGCCUUGCGCUAUCAGAUGAGCCUAGGUCGGAUUAGCUAGUUGGUGGGGUAAUGGCUCACCAAGGCGACGAUCCGUAACUGGUCUGAGAGGAUGAUCAGUCACACUGGAACUGAGACUACGGUCCAGACCUCCGUACGGGAGGCAGCA
rnacentral:rRNA from 1 species